GUGAGGAAUAUUGGUCAAUGGGCGCAAGCCUGAACCAGCCAUGCCGCGUGCAGGAAGACGGUCCUAUGGAUUGUAAACUGCUUUUAUUUGGGAAUAAACUCCGGUACGUGUACCGGCCUGAAGGUACCAAAUGAAUAAGCACCGGCUAACUCCGUGCCAGCAGCCGCGGUAAUACGGAGGGUGCAAGCGUUAUCCGGAAUCAUUGGGUUUAAAGGGUCCGCAGGCGGUCUUAUAAGUCAGUGGUGAAAGCCUACAGCUCAACUGUAGAACUGCCAUUGAUAGUGUAGGACUUGAAUUCGAUCGAAGUGGGCGGAAUGUGACAUGUAGCGGUGAAAUGCUUAGAUAUGUCACAGAACACCGAUAGCGAAGGCAGCUCACUAGGUCUGGAUUGACGCUCAGGGACGAAAGCGUGGGGAGCAAACGGGAUUAGAUACCCUGGUAGUCC
rnacentral:rRNA from 1 species